rnacentral:rRNA from 1 species
UACAUGAAGCUGGAAUCGCUAGUAAUCGCGGAUCAGAAUGCCGCGGUGAAUACGUUCCCGGGUCUUGUACACACCGCCCGUCACACCAUGGGAGUCGGAAAUGCCCGAAGUCUGUGACCCAACCUACGGGAGGGAGCAGCCGAAGGCAGGUCGGAUGACUGGGGUGAAGUCGUAACAAGGUAGC